AACGCACAUUGCGCCCGCCAGUAUUCUGGCGGGCAUGCCUGUUCGAGCGUCAUUUCAACCCUCGCGCCCCUUCUGGGAACGCGGUGUUGGGGACCGGCACAACCCGCCUCUUGGCGGGCGCCGCCCCCGAAAUACAGUGGCGGUCUCGCUGCAGCCUCCCUUGCGUAGUAGCACAACCUCGCACCGGAGCGCAGCGCGGCCACGCCGUAAAACCCCCGACUCUCCUGAGUUUGACCUCGGAUCAGGUAGGAAUACCCGCUGAACUUAA
rnacentral:misc_RNA from 1 species